CAGGAUUCUGUCUCUCCGACGGAGGCAAUGGAGGAGCUGGCUGAUGAUAACCCUCUUUCAUAAGUGCAAAGAAGAUCUGGAAUUCUACCCGAUGACUUUCAAAUGAUGAAAGGGCAGGCACACUGAGAUCCACGCUCGUUAACUGGGAAAUAUUUUACUGGUCCUUUAUGACUCUGAUGGGGCCUGAAUCGAUUAAGGAGAAGACCUCUAAAUAAAUAUUUUACGAGAUGUUCUUCCCCUU